UACGAAGGGGGCUAGCGUUGCUCGGAAUCACUGGGCGUAAAGCGCACGUAGGCGGAUUGCUAAGUCAGGGUGAAAUCCUGGAGCUCAACUCCAGAACUGCCUUUGAUACUGGCAAUCUCGAGUCCGGGAGAGGUGAGUGGAACUGCGAGUGUAGAGGUGAAAUUCGUAGAUAUUCGCAAGAACACCAGUGGCGAAGGCGGCUCACUGGCCCGGUACUGACGCUGAGGUGCGAAAGCGUGGGGAGCAAACAGGG
rnacentral:rRNA from 1 species